rnacentral:rRNA from 1 species
GUCGAGUUGUUUGGGAAUGCAGCUCAAAAUGGGUGGUAAAUUUCAUCUAAAGCUAAAUACUGGCCAGAGACCGAUAGCGCACAAGUAGAGUGAUCGAAAGAUGAAAAGCACUUUGAAAAGAGAGUUAAACAGUAUGUGAAAUUGUUGAAAGGGAAGCGCUUACAACCAGACUUGAGCCCGUCGGUUCCCCCUCGCUUCUGCGUGGGCUACUCCGGCGGGUCCAGGCCAACAUCGGUUCGGGUGGCUGGUCAAAGGCCCCGGGAAUGUACCUCACCUUCGGGUUAGGCUUAUAGCCCGGGGUGUCAUGCGGCCUACCUGGACCGAGGAACGCGCUUCGGCUCGGAUGUUGGCGUAAUGGUUGUCAGCGACCCGUCUUGAAACACGGACCAAGGAGUCGAAGAGCUAUGCGAGUGUUUGGGUGUCAAACCCGUACGCGUAAUGAAAGUGAACGGAGGUAGGAAGCUUCGGCUGCACUAUCGACCGAUCCUGAUGUUCUCGGAUGGAUUUGAGUAAGAGCAUAACUCUCCGGACCCGAAAGAUGGUGAACUAUGCCUGAAUAGGGUGAAGCCAGAGGAAACUCUGGUGGAGGCUCGCAGCGGUUCUGACGUGCAAAUCGAUCGUCAAAUUUGGGUAUAGGGGCGAAAGACUAAUCGAACCAUCUGGUAGCUGGUUCCUGCCGAAGUUUCCCUCAGGAUAGCAGUAACGUUUUCAGUUUUAUGAGGUAAAGCGAAUGAUUAGAGGCCUUGGGGUUGAAACAACCUUAACCUAUUCUCAAACUUUAAAUAUGUAAGAAGUCCUUGUUACUUAGUUGAACGUGGACAUUUGAAUGUAUCGUUACUAGUGGGCCAUUUUUGGUAAGCAGAACUGGCGAUGCGGGAUGAACCGAACGUGAGGUUAAGGUGCCGGACUGCACGCUCAUCAGACACCACAAAAGGUGUCAAUGCAUCUAGACAGCCGGACGGUGGCCAUGGAAGUCGGAAUCCGCUUAGGAGUGUGUAACAACUCACCGGCCGAAUGCAUUGGCCCUGAAAAUGGAUGGCGCUUAAGCGUGCGACCUAUACCUCGCCGUCAGGGUUGACAUGAUGCCCUGACGAGUAGGCAGGCGUGGAGGUUUGUGACGAAGCCUUGGGGGUGACCCCGGGUCGAACAACCUCUAG